AACAAACCUUAAUCUUGAACUAAACUCGAAUCUAUAUGAAAUUUUCGUUUUUCUUUUUUAAUUAAUUUGGAUUAAGAUCGUUACGAUUGAAGUUUUCGGAUUAUCUCAUUGGUGGAAGUUCUUGAAUUUGAAAAUUGUUGUAUUAAUUAGUAGAGAUUGUCGAUUCCAUGAUUCAAUACUCUCUUUCUUGUUCUAAAUCAUAUCAUAUCAUAUGGACAUGAACCAAUGGUUGUACAGGACAAUUGUUCAUCUGCCUGAGAAAUGAAUCUCAAAACAUUUAUGCUGAUGGCUUGAAUUUACUGUGGUUUAAAUUAAGACUUGUGUGUGUGUGUGUGUGUGUGUGGAUGUAAGACAUGAAACAGCCUGUCAAAAGCAUUCAAGUUUUGACAAUGACAAUGUUGCAGAGUAUAUCAGCAACUAGGACAGAAAUAAAUGAAAGGAUAAGCAAAGAAAAUAUCCAAUACCCAAAAUGUGCCUUUAUGUACCAGAAUAUUCAUCUAUCUGUUACUUGCUUGUAAAUCUCAAUUUAAGUAACAUUUAAUGACUAAAUUAUCACAUAUCUAUGGAUUCUUUGAUCUUCUCUUUUUAACUUUUUACUGAGAUGAGCAAUUUGAGAUCAACAAUCAUGUCUUUUACUCUUGUCAUAAAUGUUGGUUUACAAAUCUAAUGAUGCUUGUGAUUUGUUUGGUGAAUUGUAUGGUUGGAGAGGAGGAGGGGAAGUGGCUGAAUUCAAGGCAAUGACUCCUAAUCCUAAUAUUCUAAUCUGUUAUACAACUCAGUUUGCAGGAUCAUGGAAAACACAGAAAACAGGUAUUUCCCCCACCAUGUCAAAGCUGAGUUGAAAGGCUUGUUUUGAAGAAGUUAAAUACAAUUUUGGAGUCCUGAGGACAAAUAGGUCAGUUCACUAAAAUUAUUGUGUAAUAAUUUUUGUCAAUAAACAGAUUAGGCUUUUAUAGAGUUGUGAGUAAACAAACAACUUUCUAAAAGCCAUUGGUUUAGCUACAUCACAAAUAUUGUAGAGGUUGACUUGCAUGUAUUAAAGAAACUUCUUGGAUUAUAUUGUUUUCCA